UCGGUUGCUUACUAUUAGUUGCAACCACUAGUAAAAAAACAUAAAUGAGCAUUGAGAAAUAAGCACCGGUUAUUAAGAACAGGUGCGGAAAAAACAAGGCGGGAGUUAAUUAAAGAGUAAUCGCACUGGUUCAAACCGAACCAGUGCGAACUUGAGUUAAUCGCACCGGUUUGAACCGGUGCGAAUGUUAAAAAAAAAAAAUCUCGCCCCUCUUCUUUCUUUCUCUUUCCUCGAUCUCUGGUUCUCUCUCAUUUGCCUCUUUUCUCUUAUCACUGUUCUCAUUCUCAACAACCAUUGCUGCUCUCCUUCGAAAACCGCCGUCAAUUUAAGCCAAGGACAACCAUCAUCGCCGCCGCUGUCUAUUUCCUGAAUCUACAAUGGAGGCUUUCUCUUGCCUUCUCUCUCCUCAAACUCGCAGUCACAUGCAAUCGAAGCCACCACCAGCCAGAUAUCGAAGUCAUCCGACCAGAUCCCUCAGCCACCGUCGCUUUCCCUUUCCUUUUCUCUCUCCUUCUCUCUCCUUCUCCAUCACUGCGGUGCAAGCAACGCCAUCGAUGGCUAGGGUUUUCUGAAACAAUAUUCAUUCAAUUUAUGCAUUUUAUCUCCUUUUUCAUUCAGUGUUUGUGAAAUUUCACAAUUAAUUUUGAUUUUCCUUUUCAUGUUCCGUAACUUGAUGUUUAAAUUUCAAUUUUUGCCGAUUUAUUGAUAAUUUUUGUGCUACUUUGUAGAGGAUUGCGAUUAAAGGGUGAGCUACUACUUAAUACGAAUCAUUGAGGCUCAAUGGAAAUGAGCUGUGGCUUCAAUAUCUUCUGGAAAUGAUUACUUUGUUGGGAGUAUUCUUGCUGAAGCCAUUGACAAGAUUAGGGCUGAUGGUUUAUUCUUUUGAAUUGGGUUUGUGUUAUUCAUGUUGUUGAUUUAUUUAUUAGUAAUGUGGGAUUUUUUUGUAAAAUUUGAUGAUUAGUACUGUGAGUAAUUUUUAUUUAGCAAAUGAAAUAGGUUGCUUUAUGAAAUUUAGAAGGGGUGAGAUUUAUGAAGUAUUUGAUGAAUGGUAUUGAACUGUUGAUUUAAAAAUUACAAGGUGUGCUUUGGCUGGUUGUUUUAA